CAGGCUUCGCAGGCCUAUGCACUUACCAUUGACAGCAGCCAGAGACAUAAUCACACAAAUAAAUUUUUUUCCUGCCAAGGAGAAAAUUAUGAAAGCAAGCAGGAAAGCGGGAUUACCUGAACCAUUUACCAAUAUAAAAAUAUUAGCAGAUCUUUCCACUGCUACUUUACAGUUCAGAAAAGCCAUGCAACCGUUAACAAUUACCCUACGUGAGCACCAAAUAAAUUAUAGGUGGGUUCACCAUCAGGACUCUCUCCACACCAUUACAACCAUGGGCUGAGCAAGCUACGUUAAUGGAACAUCCCGACUCCUACUGUUAACACAAGCCAGCAACACUGCCGAAAAUGUCUUUAGAAUGGUCCACUACAUAAAUGUCUUGCAACAACCUUUUGUAGAACUAUAAGUAACUAUUAUAAUAGCACCACUACCAUAUUCUGGUAUAGGGUAUCUUUAUUUUAUUUAAACAUUAUAUGUUAUAAUUAUUAAUAUGUCUGCGGAUGGG